CCUACGGGAGGCAGCAGUAAGGAAUCUUCCACAAUGGACGAAAGUCUGAUGGAGCAACGCCGCGUGCAGGAUGAAGGCUUUCGGGUCGUAAACUGCUUUUAUAUGGGAAGAUUAUGACGGUACCAUAUGAAUAAGGACCGGCUAACUACGUGCCAGCAGCCGCGGUAAUACGUAGGGUCCAAGCGAUAUCCGGAAUUACUGGGCGUAAAGCGUGUGUAGGUGGAUUAAUAAGUGUGAUGCGAAAUCCGGCGGCUCAACCGUUUGGACUGUGUCGCAUACUGUUAGUCUAGAGGACGGCAGAGGUAAGUGGAAUUACGGGUGUAGCAGUGAAAUGCGUAGAUAUCCGUAGGAACACCAAUGGCGAAGGCAGCUUACUGGGCCACACCUGACACUGAGACACGAAAGCGUGGGGAGCGAACAGGAUUAGAUACCCUGGUAGUCCACGCCGUAAACGAUGCAUACUAUUAGUAUGGGGUAUGACCCCCUGUGCUGAGAAGCUAACGCGAUAAGUAUGCCGCCGUGGGAGGUACGAGCGCGAGAACGUUAAACUUAAAUUAGUUAAGUAGUUAGGCGUGAGAGNGCGAGGACGACGACGAGGGAGGAGG
rnacentral:rRNA from 1 species